GAUAGAGGUGCGGCAAAAGCGUGUAUGCAGGAGAAGGCGGCCAACGCUGAAGAUACUUGCAGAAGAGCUUGGCCGCCGAAAAGCGAAAUGCGGCAGUUUCGGCUUUGGGCAUACACUAUAGGAGUGUAUGACUGUCAUCAUAAAAAUCUGUGGUGGAGUGCUAUCGGG
rnacentral:ncRNA from 1 species